AUGAGCAACCCUGUAUAUGAUUUUAGCACUUAAUAAUAGCGAGUAAUGUUUACGUUUCGCAGCGCCCCCAUCGGUAGUUGAACUAGCGAAUUGCCAAUAAGUCAAUAAAGUUGUGAGUCGGUAAUGGUAUCGAUACUUUGAGAAUACUCAUGUGAGUAGUAUUGCAAGAUGAUUUGGUUACUACUCAUUUGAGUAGUAACCGAUACUUUCUCAGUAUCGAUCCUUACUACCUAAACUACGUACCCUAAUCUCUUCUCUGUCUCGAAUAAAUAACAGGUUCUCUUGAUACCCCUAGUAACUCUCUUGUUUGACACUGAUAAAAUUAACCACUUUUACAGAAAAAUGUAAAUAUAUUUAGAUGCAUAUAGAUGCAUCUGCUUAAUCAGAGGUUGAAAAAUGCAUGUAUACAUUCGUCAGUUAAUAAGCUCAAACAAAAGGCUCUGCAAUAAUCACUUUGUGCAAUUCCUUUGAUAUUAUUCAUUUUGAUACUUUGAUUUGUAUGAUUCAAUUUUUGUAAAAACCAUUCAUUCCAUUAGCCAGGUUCUGAUCGUGAUAGCAGAAUUUUUUAUAGCAGUUCCAUGGAGAUAGUGCUUAUGCCCAGAAUAGGCAUAUGUAUACUUCAGAAACAUCGAAAAACCCAAAAAGAGGAGCCGAGCAGCGAUAUAAUAACGCAUAUAUUUUAACAAGGAAUGUUAUUCAAGGCGCUUUUGGUGUAUGGAAAGGUCGUUUUAAACGUUUAGAAAAGUGCUUGAAAGUAUCAUUACGACAUACCACCAGAAUUGUUGCUGCUACAGCUGAGGUUCUUAAUAUAGCCAAUGACACCAGCCAGAAAAUCGAUGAAAGUAAAACUAUGGAGGAAACUGAAAGGUUUCCGCAGUCCGAAGCGCCAAUAUGGCAAUCAGCGCUGCUUUCAUUCACGAAAUUUUAACAGAUCAACGGAUUCAAAUUGAUUUCAUAUUGUAUUAACCCCCAAUUUUUUCUAAAUUUGCUUAUUUAUCUCUAGUCGUUUUGCUUUCACUCCCUCCUGUUUUAGAAUUUCUUUGGCAAUAGAUAUACGAACAUUCUGCCAUUCUGAAAUUGUUUCUCAGAACUCGGCAUGAAACUGCGCUUAGCACUCAUGUUGUUAUACAUAAUUAAUAAACAUGUAUUAUAAACGUAAAAACAUCACGUUUAUAAUACAUAUUUAUUCAAACACUCAUAACAAAACAAGUGAUAAUAAAAGCUGAACUGAGGUUAUGGAACCGGAAUGAAGUUAUUCACUUAUGAGAACAUAACCCUACUAAAACUGUUUUCUUUGAACCAGUUGUCACUCAAGUGAGUGACUCAUUAGUGUCGUUUUUAAAUACCGAAAGUUGGCUUUAGUUAGGGACCACUCAUCUCACCCUAAUGUGAGUGGCAGAUGAGUGAGAGUUGGAUUUGAGAUGAGUAGCGUAUGAGUGGCGUUCUUGAAUUCGGCCUUAGACUUGCAGCAACCGAUUAUGGUGCCUACCAAUUUUCAUAUUAAUAAUAUUUCGCGAUUUUUUUUUCUAACGAACGAGCUACGUGAUUUUAUUAUUAGGUACCCGUAAAAUCUAUAAGUAGGCCUGUUUUUUCGGUAGUUUAUUUUUAUCUUAGGCAACUUUAUUCUUAUAGAUGCCUCUUUAAUACAUGUAUCAAUUUUAUUGUCGGCGGAGCCCUACCGUAGGCUUUGCGAAGCACCGGGGCUCGGCGGAGCACACUUUGAGUAGUAGCGCUGGUUUGGGCCUUUAUUUCCGAGAAUUUGAACACAGUAUCACAUCGUAAUCGUGCCGGUUGGGUCCCUCCGAAUUUUUAGUUUUUUUCUUGUUCUAGUUUAAAGAAUACUUCAAAUUCAGCAGUUCCAGCGAAAAAGUUAAUAAAAAUUGUUUUCUCAGAUAUCUAGGAUGUGGAUUCACUAAAGUUGGGUGGGUAUAAAUUACUUAGGCCUUUUUAGGUAAUAAAUUUUUACUUUCUGUAUAUUUUUCAGUUUCCUUUAAAAAAUCACCAACCAUGCUAACACCAAGGGCGGAUCCAGGGUGGGGGUCAUGGGGGUCAUGACCUCCCCCUUGUGCUGGGUUUUUAACGACUAACGAGAAUUUCUCGAAUUUCAUAGACGACAAAAGACUGAAUUUCUACUACUUGACCCCCCCCCUGACUCGAAAGCUGGAUCCGCCCCUGGCUAACACAAACAAACUAAAUCACAAUUAACCAAAAGGAAAAAAACGUAAAAAUACGUGGCAACACCGCAUUGUGUUGAGACAAAUAAUUCGCAUUCUGAAUCGACGCGCUAGAUAACCUCAAUUCAUUGGCGACGUUGAAAAAGAUGCUCAAACUUUUGCGAAAAACACAAUUAUUAUGCAUCUUAGCGACAGGUUUGCUUGGGGAGUUAUGAAAGUUUACACUUAGUAACAGGUGCAGAUUUUGUCAAGAACAACAAGCAUUUGUCAAGAAAAAGCAAGAAAAGGAGUUAAUUGCAGCAGAGCCUUUCAGGAGUACUUGGAGCAUUGCGGCGCAACAGCUGACACUUUCCGGGUCAACGGUGUCCCGGAUAAUUACCCAGGAAGCGCAAGUUCCCUACUAGGGAUGGACGGCGGUAUUUAAAGCAACCGCAGUUACAGGUAGUCGAUUUAACCGGUUAUUUUUGGAACCGUCUUAUAAAACCGAAAAAGGGGUUUGCACCAGCACAGAACUGACGCGACAUCCUCGAGCCAUCCAAUAAACAUUGUCACUUUAUCGUGUUUAUCACUUUUUCGUCUAUAAGAAUUAAGUACUGGUUCUGUUCUUCAAAAACCAUAAUCAGUCAGAUCUCAGCAAAUUAUUGCUUAUUUGCGGUGGUGAUAUAAUUAAGCAUAUUUAGUCUAUUAUUAAGUACUGUUCUCUGACGAUCUGUAAUAAAUCUUUGUUAAAAAGGGA